rnacentral:rRNA from 1 species
GACGUAGGGCGCGAGCGUUGUCCGGAUUUAUUGGGCGUAAAGAGCUCGUAGGCGGCUUGUUGCGUCGACUGUGAAAACCCGGGGCUCAACCCCGGGCCUGCAUUCGAUACGGGCAGACUAGAGUUCGGUAGGGGAGUCUGGAAUUCCUGGUGUAGCGGUGAAAUGCGCAGAUAUCAGGAAGAACACCCGUGGCGAAAGCGGCUCUCUGGAACGGUACUGACGCUGAGACGCGAAAGCGUGGGGAGCGAACAGG